UACGUAGGGGGCAAGCGUUGUCCGGAAUCAUUGGGCGUAAAGCGCGUGUAGGCGGCUCGGUAAGUCUGCUUUGAAAGUCCAGGGCUCAACCCUGGGAUGCCGGUGGAUACUGUCGAGCUCGAGUCCGGAAGAGGCGAGUGGAAUUCCUGGUGUAGCGGUGAAAUGCGCAGAUAUCAGGAGGAACACCAAUGGCGAAGGCAGCUCGCUGGGACGUGACUGACGCUGAGACGCGAAAGCGUGGGGAGCAAACAGG
rnacentral:rRNA from 1 species